rnacentral:lncRNA from 10 species
CUGUACUUGAGAUAUUUCACUGAGUGGGAGACAAAGAGGCUUUGUGUGCUCUUCAAAGUGCUCUCUGCUGACUGUGAUACACAUCCAGGAAAAACCCAGACCAAAGCCAUGAAGUCACCCCAAGUUCAAACCCAAAAUGCAAUUUGCAGUGGUUAGAAAUGACAAAGGAUGGGUGGUAGGAUCCAGAGAAAAAACAGUGAAACCCGAUGGACCUUAAAUAGAUCUGAGGGCACUGAUUUGAUUAUUUUGGGUGAAAUCUUUUAAGAAAAUCUUGUCAGAUUCUUCACAGAAAAUUUGGUAAAGCCUAUAUUUCAUCGCCAGCCUAGCAAAGAUACCAUGAAAGGAUUUGAGCGUUUUUUUAUGUGAAUCCAAAGAUGACAUUUACAAAAGGUGGAGAAGCAGUUCCCUACUGAGGGACGUGGAUACAAAAAGCAGAUGACACAACACAUCCCAUAGAGUUCCCAGGGAAGAAUGAACCCAGAUUCUUGACCUGCAGAGGUGGCGUACUGGCUGGAGAAAUCUCUGGCUGGCGACCGUGCUAUUCUGUCUGUCCACCUAACUGUGGGCUCCCAGAUCACCACUGCCAUGGGCAGGGGGCCGUGGGGUGGGCCUGCUUGGGGUGACAGGCUAGCUGUGCUCCCAUAGCAGAGGUGGGAGAAGGGAAUCACAUCUGGUGAGCAGCUAUGUCGUGCCAGGCACUGUGCUGUGUAUUGCACACAUCUCAAACCUUGUGACAAAUGUGUAAGAUAUUUUUUAUGUAUUACAAAUGAAGGAACUGGGCUCAGAAAAGCUCCAUUAUUUGCCCAAAUUGCAGCAGUAAUGCAGGAAUUUGAAUCCACAUUAAUCUGACUCCACAACCCAUGUUCUUUCACUGAAUUCCCAUAUCCUUGUUCCCCCUACUGUCCUCACUGGUCAAGGUGAGCUUGGUCUUCCACAAACAGGCUAGAAAAGUAUGCUUACUUAUCUUUAGCUUUAUGCUUUUAAACUAAUUCUUAAAAAUCUUCUCUGGAUAAGUCAAAGACAAUGGGAAUGUGUAUUUCUAAUACAUUAAUUAUAAUACAUUACCGGUUUACACAAUGCCAUCACCUUGUCAUUUUCUUUGACACAACGUCCCCCUCCCCUCUAGUUUAUAAAUGAGGACAUUGAGGCACAAAGUGGGUAAGUGACUUGCCCAAGGGGGAGAUUUGUCCAAUCAUAAAGAUGGGCCUGAACUUUUUCUACUUUGCAUUCUUACUUGAAAGGCAGGAAACAUAUGCUCAAGAGGGAGAUCUCACGAAAUUUCAUGUCAUAUAGUGCUCUCGCUAAUUUAAUCCUGUCAUUCCUGGUUAUAUCCCUUUGGAAAAACCACCACCAGUGCCUUCUCUUUUGAUAUAUUUACAGUAAAAAUAUUCCCUGUACAAACCAUCUCACUCUUUCACAGGGAACUGGCUUGGCCCUCUCCCCUGAAGUGGGUUGCACAUCCACCCAGCCCACCCCCAGCUCACUCUAGCUCCCUUCCUGUUAGAAUUUAUUCAGAACCUCCAUUUCUAGGAGGAAGCAAGGAGGGGGCAGUUAUCUUCGUGGACUUGGGUCCUCCUGGACCCUUUGUCCUCAUGGUUAUGUUUCAAACAGAGUUGAGGGCUCCCUAAAGGGGAAAGAUUAUUUAAGUUUUGUAAAUGCUGCCCUCCAAAAACCACUCCACAUAAAUGUUUCAUGGCUUAGCCUCUGUGAGGCCAGAGCUGGAACAUUCAGCUGUGAGGGUGUUUAUAUUUGUGGAACUCUCUUGAACAUUUGCUGUGGGUUUUAAACAGCUGCUAUGCUGAAGCUCUGGGGAUAGGAAGAUCAUGAAUAUUCAGGUGAAGCCACCAGAAUGAACAGCCGUUAAUAGAAUAAAUGCCUAAACAGUUGUGUAAGGCUUAUUAAGACCUAUUGGGGCUGAGAUAAUAAAUUCCCACUCUGACAUGUUGCAACUACUGUCGCUUAAACACUUUGGACCACCUCUUCUGAACUGAAGGAAAAAAUGAUGUUAGUUCUCUGCGCGAAUACAAAGAAACACCUGGAAGCCUUGGCAAGGGGAUGAGAUUUGGCAGAGAUCUUUCCGUGUACCGAUGCAUCCUCAGGAAAAUGAUGUGCCGCUCAUUGUUCCUGUUGUCAAGGUUAUCGCAGUCGACUUCAGGCUGGAACGGGCAUUGCUCUUGCACUGAAGAAAGUCUGUCCUGACUCCCUCAGAGUGCCUCAACAUCAACCAAGAGCCACCGUGAACCUCUGGGGCACUGAGCCUGGCCACCAGCACCCCCACCCCAGCCCAUAUGGCCUGGGCCUCUCCCUUGAUGUUUAAAGGAGAUGAUAAAAAUGCUGCAACCCAGAUAAUGAUCACCUUACUCUUCAAAAAUACUGCCCAAGUUCUUUGUUCAAGAUGCCAAGAACCUGGAUACCCUCCACUGGUAACAAAUAUGACUUUGUUUUUAGCAAGCAACUUUGCAGUGUAAUUAAGUUAAGGAUCUUGAGAUGAGAUCAUCUUGGAAUAUCUGGGUGGGCCCUAAAUCCAAUGACAAGUGUCCUCAUAGGAAGGGAAGAUACACACAGAGGAGAAGGUGGUGUGAAGAUGGAAGCCAAGACUGUUGAUACCAGUUGGAGAGCACCAAGAACUACCCGCAGCCACUGAAAGCUAGGAGAGAGGCAUAGGACUGUCUCCUUCAGACCCUCCAGAAAGACCAAACCUGCCCGUGCCUUGAUUUCAGACUUUUGGCCUCCCACAUUGUGAGAGAAUAAAAUUUUGUUUUUGAAGCCAU